rnacentral:misc_RNA from 1 species
UCGUAACAAGGUCUCCGUUGGUGAACCAGCGGAGGGAUCAUUACCGAGUUUACAACUCCCAAACCCCUGUGAACAUACCUUAUGUUGCCUCGGCGGAUCAGCCCGCGCCCCGUAAAAAGGGACGGCCCGCCGCAGGAACCUUAAACUCUGUUUUUAGUGGAACUUCUGAGUAUAAAAAACAAAUAAAUCAAAACUUUCAACAACGGAUCUCUUGGUUCUGGCAUCGAUGAAGAACGCAGCAAAAUGCGAUAAGUAAUGUGAAUUGCAGAAUUCAGUGAAUCAUCGAAUCUUUGAACGCACAUUGCGCCCGCCAGUAUUCUGGCGGGCAUGCCUGUUCGAGCGUCAUUUCAACCCUCAAGCCCAGCUUGGUGUUGGGAGCUGCAGUCCUGCUGCACUCCCCAAAUACAUUGGCGGUCACGUCGAGCUUCCAUAGCGUAGUAAUUUACAUAUCGUUACUGGUAAUCGUCGCGGCCACGCCGUUAAACCCCAACUUCUGAAUGUUGACCUCGGAUCAGGUAGGAAUACCCGCUGAACCUAAGCAUAUC